GUACAGGAGUAAUGGAGUCAGCAGAGGCACACAGCAGCAUGGAGGCAGAAGAGAGGCUGGAGUGAGCUGUUACUGUAUGCUCACUCCCAUCAGCCUCAGCUUGGACCAGAGCAUUUAGCAAGCCACCCUCCAGGACACAAAGGUAAGCUAACAGGAGUGUAUGUGUAUCUGAGUGUUUCUGUCAGUGUGUGUAUCUGAGUGUAUGAGUCAGUGUAUGUAUCUGUGUGUAUCUGAGUGUGUGUAUCUGUGUGUGUGUGUAUGUGCCAGUAUGUGUUUCUAAUUGUAUGUGUCAGUGUGUAUCUGUGUGUGAGUAUGUCUGUGUGUCAAUGUAUAAAUCUGGAUGUAUGUGCCAGUGUGUGUAUCUGAGUGUAUGUGCCAGUGCGUGUUUCAAUGUGUGUAUCUGUGUGUCAUUGUGUAUCUGAGUGUGUAUGUGCCAGUGCAUGUAUCUGUGUGGCAAGGUGUUUAUUCAUGUUUGUGGGCUGUGUGUGCAUGUGUGGGGGGAAGUGGGUUGGCGCCAUAGCUGGUGUAGCCACCUCCCUAAAAUGAAUUUUUGCAAGUUGGGAUGUCUGCCUCUCUGAAGUCUGCAGAGUGGUCUCUUAACCUUUACCAGCUUUGCCUAAACAUCAGUAGUAGCUCAUAGGCGUGCGCACGGGGUGUGCCGGGUGUGCCUGGGCACACCCUAAUCCCAGUGGCACCCUAUGGUUUGAGUCCCGCAGGAACAGCGUUCCUGCACUUGUUUUGAGCAGGAACUCUGUUCCUGCAGGCACUCAGCGCCCCCUGUUUCACCUCUUGCCCCUGUCAUGGGGGGGCAAGAGGUGAUGGAUCCCCCCCUCUCUGAAGCUCAGCCGCGGCGAGGGAGCUGUGUGCUGUCUGAUCUCUGCUCCCUCUCGCCGCGCGCUGAUGCCGGGAGCCGGAAUAUGACGUCAUAUUCAGGCUCCCAGCUACAGCAGACAGCCCGCGCGGCGAGAGGGAGCAGAGAUCAGACAGCUCCUCUCCAGGUAGGAGGUUGGGUGGACAUUUUUUUAAAUGAAAAUGUAAUAAUUGUGUUCUUGUGUGUGUGUCUGUGUGUGUGUGUCUGUGUGCGAGUGUCUGUGUGCGAGUGUCUGUGUGUGUGUGUGUCUGUGAAUGUAUGUGUGUCUGUGAAUGUGUGUGUGUGUGUCUGUGAGUGUAUGUAUGUAUGUGUGUGUGUGUCAGUGAGUGAAUGUGUGUGUCUCUGUGAGUGUGUGUCUGUGAAUGUGUGUGUUUGUGUGUCUGGGUGUCUGUGUGUGUGUCUGUGAGUGUCUGAGUGUGUCUGUGUGAGUGUGUGUCUGUGAACGUGUGUGUGUGUGUGUCUGUGAGUGUAUGUAUGUAUGUAUGUGUGUGUGUGUGAGUCAGUGGCGGAUCCAGAGCCUGAUCUCGGGAGGGGCACUUGUAGAUUAUUUAAUUAAAUAAUCCAGGCACAAUAACCACUACAGCUCAGUGUAGUAGUUAUGGUGUCAGUAGUGCCAGAAUUCCACCCCAGAGUAAGUAGUCAUACCGUUUAAGAACAGUUUGACAACUUACCUGGGGUCUGCUGGGAUAUAGGGUAUAGUAGCAGUGGUGUGUGUUAAGGGUGAAGAGUUCACUCUCACGAGAGGAGGACCCGGAGGAGCUGCAGACUGAGCUCCGGGUCCUCUCUCUCAUUCCCUCCCUCCGCCGCCGGCUGUCAGCACGGUGCCUGCGGAUCGGGGAGGGAGAUCUGUGAUCUUCCUCCCCGGUCCGCAGGCACAUUGCAGGGCUCACAAAUACACGAGACACAGAAUCAUGGAAAUACACUAUUACAACUAGAUUUGUUUAACCCCUUAAGGACACAUGACACGUGUGACAUGUCAUGAUUCCCUUUUAUUCCAGAUGUUUGGUACUUAAGGGGUUAAUGACUAUCCUAGUCUGUUCAAUAAAGACUCAAUUAAAAUCUUCCAGGUGUCCAUUCUAUAAUUCCCUGUCACUGAAUCUCUUUUAACAAUAACAAAUUCAUAUCCAGGUAAUCUAGAUCUACAAAUAAUGCAGUGUGCAUUGAUUGAUCAUCCAACGAAUUUACUAUGAUCACAUUUGAUACUAUGAUCUGCCGAAUAAAAUCUACUUAUAGCAUUGCAUGCAGGUAUACACUGUCCCAGAUCUUUUCAAAUUCACCACUUUAUCACUUUUAAUCUAAACACAUGUUUUGUGUGCUAUGAUUUAUUAAACGAUGUACAGACUUCUUUAGGAAGAUGGUUGUUGUACUAUAUACUUAUAUGAAUAUUAAUAGACUAUAAGCUUCUGUCAAGGCAAAUAUUGAUUGUUCUGUGUCACAAAAGAGGUAUGCUUCCUUUCCCCAGCAUGGUGGAUGUAGGAGCAUGUUUUAGAAAAUGAUGUGAAGACAGAACAGAUUUGGACAGACCUUCUUAAUGAGCACUUAAAGAACUUGCUGCAAGCAGCUUGUGCAAAACAUUAAACAGAGGAGUCAAUUAAUGUUGAAAUGUUUUAGCAACAAACUUUUGCAUGAAGCAAAAGUGGCCCUUCCCAUGAACAUAGGUCUCUUCUAACAGGGUAAUUCACUGAAUUCCAGAUUGCUGAUACCGAAUUGGGCAAUAUCAUACUGGGCCUUUCGACAUGCAAAAUCACAAUAUUGUUCACACUAUUUAACUGUAUCAAGAUUUUGCAAAAAGAGCCUGAUAUGGUCUGAAUUUCAGCCAGACUGAGUCUAGCGCUUUAAGUCCGGUCCUGAAUUGUAAAAAUCUUGGCCCUGAUGCUUAAAAAUUUUGCCAGGAUUUUUAAAAAGCUGAACUAUUUGCAUAAACAGCUGCACAUUAAACAAAAUAAGUCAAUGACCCCUAUAUUAGUAUAAGGGAGGUGUAAAAUAUUCUUAUCACUCCAACCAGGUGGGGCUACUUAUUAAAUGAGGGGACCCAGUCUUCCCCCCAACCCCUACCUAUGGGCAGUGGGUGGGAGAUAUACAGUAAAUAAAAUGACCAGGUGGUCUAAUUUUCCUUUCCAAACAUGUAUACUUAACAUUAGAUGUCUUCUUUCUUCUACAGUAUUCUAUUGUUCAACACCAAAAUAGGCUUAAAAAAUCCAUUACAUUCUGACUUUGCUAUUAAAAUAAUAAAAAAGCCCCGAUUCACAAAAACUCAAUAUAGAAAUAGAUCCAAGUGAUCCUGGGUACAAAAAGAGAUUUCAAGGUUGGAAAAAACCUUAGUGGAUCAUAUUGAUUGGUUGGCCUGCAAGACAACCAAUCACAGUGCUCUGACGUGCAAGAUUCACUCUCGAGACAUGCCUGGGAAUACAUUUAAUAUUAGCCCCCAACUGCCAACCAUUGGUGGGGUCUGAGUUUUUAUCACGUGACAGGAGGCUUUAUAUUUGCAUAAUCUUUCUUUACUAUAACUCCAACAGCACAGAUCAAUCAAAACUUUUAAACCAAUCAGAAAACAAGAGUCACUGCUAUAAAUAGCGCUGUGAUGCACUUCCACUUCCUCUUUCUUUGCUGCUCAGCCAGAGUACAGGUCAGAGUAUUACUUCAUCCAUUUCUAUCUAUUUACAAUUUGUCAGUAAUUCUGUUUUUUCAUACUUUUUCUACUUUAAUUUCUCCCCUAUCACUGCUCCUCUAACCCUACCUUCCCUCCUUUCUACCCAGCUAACUUCCUGAGGUAACUUUCCAUCUGCGGCCCAAUUUUGUUCGCGGGCGGGUGUCUGUGUACCGUUCCUGGUAACAGGGGUUGUUUUGGGUGUUGGGGCACUGUGGAAAUUGGAGACUUUUUUAUUUAUAAUUUUUUGGUUUUUUUUCGUUUUCUCCGCCGCUCGCACGGGAGUUGUUCCCAUCUUGGAUUGCAGUAGGGACCCUAAUUGUGGCCUUGUUUGGUAUUUAUCCUGACACUGGGGAUAUGGCAUCCAGCCUUCAGAAUCUCCCUUCAUAAAUCAGGAUUCCUGUCAGAAAUUACUAGACGACUUGCUGAUCCUCUGCGACUCGGCCUCACUACUGGUCCUCAGACGAGAUUUAUCGUGGACUUUAUCAAAUCGUUGGGAUUCAUAGUUGUGACAGAUCCAUCUGUAUAGACUGGAAUUGCUGGUUCGUCUGUUUUGCCUCUUUCGUGGAAUUACCUGUCCGUAUGCCCCUGUUUGUUUGUUUAUUUGACUUUUCUGCCGAACAAAACUACUGAAUGGACGGCCACCCAGAAGAGAAGUGUGCAGCUGGUUAACCUCUUGAUCCCAAUUAGAACGUUGUGGUUAACCGCAGACACCUCUCAAUUAAAACCGAAUACAGGGUGGUCGUCGUUCGUAUGUUGACCACGAGGCGGCGGCCAUUUUAAAACAGGCGAAAGGCCAGCGGUGUUCGCCACAGAUUCUAUGGAACUAAAAACGGACACUUUUUUUCCGCCGAACACCGCUAAAGCCACGACCUCCCUUUUCGAUUGACAAAAGCAUACGAACACCGGCCAUUCGGGAGUUUGAACCACACGAAUGGACUUAACCCAGAUAGCCUUCCCAUGGAGUCAAUCGCAUACCGAAAGACUGUAAUAGACUUUGACUCCAUGGUGAUUGAACUGUGCGUAUGGGAUCUGAGCGCUAUUCGCCAAUAAUAUGCACUCAGAUCCAGGCUAUCUGGGGAUAUGUUACACGAAUGAGAAAUGUUCGGCAAUUCUAAAGUUAUAUAUUUUUAUGUGUUUUUUGGGUUGUAUCUAAAAUUGCUAUUUGCCUCUGUCCUGGGAGAUAAUUGAAUUACUUCUCAAUCAUCUCCAGGGCAGAGGAGAGGAAACCAUGAUGCAUGCUGGGAAUAUUAUGUGCCUGUGUGUCCUGAAAUACUGUAUGUCCAUCUGCUAUUACAGUCUCCCAUUUGGUCCCCUAGGGGAGUGUCCACCAAGUGGGAGACCUGCAUAAAUACGGGCGGGUAGCCCACAGUAAACCCAGUUCAUGUUUUACCCUCAAUGCAGAGCUUGGUCUCGUUAUUGGGGGGAUUUAUUACGACGAAUAGAGACUGCCGGAUGGGAAUAUUAGCCGCUUGGGAGAUAUAUGCGUUCAGCUACUAGCGGCGCUUCGUGGGUUUGCUGAUUGGGAAGUGAAGUACCCGUACGGGUCCCGUUCGGGAGAUUGGAACAUUCCCCUGCUUGCAAUUCGUAUGAUUGCAGUUGAUACGAAUGAAGCUUGCGUUAUGGUGAGAGGGGAGGAUUCACUAAACGGCGGUUUGUCUAUUUAAUGCUGAGGGUGCCGUUACAAUAGUAAACAGGGAAAAAGCGUCUCUCAAACCAGCUCAAAUUGUCCAGUUCCUUGGAUUCGAGAUCGACUCCACAACGUGCCUUCUAUGCCUACCCCUAUCGAAAAUUGCAUCGAUCCGGAAGGAAAUUCGUAAAGUCCUACAAUUGGAGCUCAUCCCUUUACGGCUCCUGGCACGUCUGGUGGGCCUUCUAUCCGCCUCUAUACAGGCGAUAUAUCCGGGCCCACUCCACUACAGAGCCAUGUAAAGACACAGGGCCCGUAUCUUACGGGCAGGUUACUCCCCAACUAAUACCGAUCACCACAGAGGUGCGCAAGGAACUACGUUGGUGGCUCCUUCAUAUGCAGGCCUGGAAUGGGAAAGCCAUCUUUGGGCCUUCUCCAGACUUCGUAGAGGAAUUGGAGGCUGGGGAGCACACUGCGCAUAAUCCUCCACCGGGGGCCCAUGGCUUCACGAGGAGGUGGAAAUGCACAUCAACUGCGCUCGACUGACUGGUCUUGCGAGGAGACUUUUCGUAUCUUCUAUUUCCGUCCUGCUUCUCAUGCUUCUUUCACCCUUCUCUCACAGCGUUAAAAAUGCAAAUAUGAAGCCUCCUGUCAUGUGAUAAAAUUGUAGAUUAUGCUAACGUAGUGUACCUAUAAUCUUAAUUUUAGUAAUGACAGGAGGCAAAUAUUUCCCCUUCUUCUCCCUGGCAGGCUUCUCUGUCCUCUCUACCUAUUUUCCACUGUUGCUUACACAUUUUUUCUUACUUUAUUAUGGUGACAUCAUUUUACAAAUUUAACAUGAAUGUCUAGAGAUAUUGUCACUAGGGUACUGAUGAAAUAUGGCCAUUUCGCUACAGUUCACCUUUUUCUCCUUUUUUGCUGUUUGAAUGCUGGCACCAUACGGUGGAUUUUGUCUUCACACCUUGGUCGUUUCAAGCAAAAUUUGAAUUACAUAGGAUCCACAUCGUUAUCUGAGUUAUGAUUUUUGGACUUGUUCACGGGACUCUUCGUUCACUACAAAGAAUGAGGAAGUGGAAGUGCAUCACAGAGCUAUUUAUAGCAGUGACUUGUUUUCUGAUUGGUUUAAAAGUUUUGAUUGAUCUGUGCUGUUGGAGUUUUAGUAAAGAAAGAUUAUGCAAAUAGGAAGCCUCCUGUCAUUACUAAAAUUAAGAUUUAUAGGUACACUACGUCAGCAUAAUAUACAAUAAUUUUUUUUAAAUCUUGUGUAUAGUAAAUUACCCUUUAAGUGUCUUCACUAUUAUAUGGUGGUUAGUAAGAUUUGCUUUAAUGUGAUGUUUCUCUCUGCAUAGUCUUCAAAAACAGGGAAAAAGGCAGUCAGACAAAGACAGAAAGAGAAAGAGAUACUUGUGGCAAAAGUAACCUCGCCACUGGUUCUUGGAGGUGCAUGUUUGUCAGCCUCCUGCCUCAGGACUAUGGGCCAUGUAAAAAGGCUCAUAAAAGACCUUGUUUGUGCCUUUUUACUGUUGUUUGGUAGAUUGCAUUCCCCUCCUAUUCUAACAUUGUCCCGUUCGACUACCGAACAACCGCACCAACCAGAGAUCACCCGGGAGCUUGUUAACACCUAUUAACACCUUGGAACGGUUCUCACCGCAGUGUUCUAAUUGUUCGUCUGGGUUGCCGCAAUUCCUAUGGACAACCACGAGGUGGCGACCAUCUUGUUCACGUGAACGCAGGCAGCGGUGUUUGGGCAUGAAUCUCAUGGAACUAAAAUUGGACACAGAAACUCCCGAACACUGCGGGACUUCCAUCAUCGCCUGCGUUCGGUUCUACACACUUUAGAAAAGUGUUUGUCUGCAUGAGGGAAACAAGCUCCAAGGUACGAACAUUGACUAUGUUUGGUAGUUUGUUCGUUUUCCAAACUACCGAACUAGACCGACUGCAAGCCCUGAUUCUAUGGAACUGUUUUAGGCAUGGGACCAUGUGUGCAUUCGGUCAAAUAAAUGACUUCCAGGAAAGUCCUGAACCCCUGAACUGAUCUGGGUGAUUUUUGGAUAUGUUGGUCAACCAGAUCAGGGCUAUCAGGGGAUGUAACAUUUGUGUGGGUGUUGUAUGUUUUAAAUGUAUUUUGGGGGUUUUAUAAAAAUGUCAGUUUUGUGUCUGGAGAUAAUUGAGUUUAGUUCAGUGCUUGACUCAAUUAUCUCCCAGAUACAGGCGGGAUUAAUCUAUUAUGUGUGGCAGUGUCCUGGACCUGAGAGCCAAUGUAAUUGUGUAUUUGUUUAUACUGUGGUUUACUCUCAGGUCCACGGAGGAGUGCCCCUUGCAUGGGGACUUGCAUAGUUGUGGCUCCCAUUAAACGAGUUCCUGCUUACCCUCAACAUAGAGUCUCAUCUCGUGUGUGGGGGAAAUGGCUGUUUCUACCCUGGGGAUUGCUAUAUCACUAUAAUCCCCUGGGAUUAUAAUCAUUUGCUCUUUUAAGAGCAUAUUGCUACACUCUAUUGCAGGAGAGGUCUACCCACUGGAAGCUGGAUCUUGCUCUUGGGUCCAGAGUGGGUGGAGGACAGCGAGACACCAACCAAGCUGUAACGCUGGAAGUGGGGACUACAGUGCUGAUGGUGUCUUGUGGUGUGCUUGGAGUACUCGGUGAGCACUAGGAGUAUUGAUUGGCAGAGGCACCUGGUUGGGGUGCCAGGCGGUCCGCCACAAUACUGAUGAUGGAGAUACUAUUGACAGAGUAUGUAUGCUUUGGCGUAAAUUUUUAAAUUGUAAUGCUCCAUGAUGGACAUGAUAAAAUUACAAUUUCAAAACCAACCAUUAUAGAUGGUACUUAUAUAAACUGCCAUACCACAUCUAAUACAACCCUGUCAGAAGAUACAUUGACAUAGGGCUUUUCGAGCUGUAUCAUUCUCUCACUUGCCUAAUCACAAAGAAGGUCUGUGUUUUGACCAAACAGAUAUGUAUACAGAAUUCAAACGUGUUGGUUGGGCAACACAAACACAAACCAAUUUUCAACAUCUAUUCACUCUUUAUCAGAUGGAGCCUAAUAAGGACAGAAAUUGCUUAGUUUGAAUUGCCCAUAUAUUUAUUUAAAGGAAUUAUCCAGUGCCAGGAAAAUAUAUUUGUUUUCCUGGCACUGCAGGACCCUCUAGUGCCCCUCUCCCACCCACCCCCCAUCCCAAGUUGCUGAAGGGGUUACAUCACCCCCAGCACUCAGGGCUCCCCAUAUCAGCACUUACACACACCUUUCAUAUUCCCGCCAAUUCACUUAAACUUACCCCCCACGAAGGGUCACACUUACCCGUCAGAAGGGGUUGCACUCACCCGGUCGGAACUCCAUCUACAGGCACAAGUCUGCUUCUGCCUCAAAGCACAUCCACAGUAGGCACUACAACAGCAAAGCAGGCUGUAAACACCAAUCACUCACAGACAUUUAAAGGGGAAGUUAAAUGACACAGUUCCAGCCAUUGCAAAUAUAACACAAUUAUGAAAAUAUCAUGGCUGAUUAUUAAGUACAAUAUGUUGUAAUAAUGGAAUAUGCAUUAAUGUCACAAAUGGUUUUCCCCUCUCAUGCGUUUAGUUAUGCUGAACAAAUUACUUUACAACUCUGCUGACAUCUAUUGUAUUCUAAUGCAAGGGUGUUGCAUUAAAUCUGUAGAUCUGCUUUUGUGAUUCUAAUCCAAUCAUGAUUCUCAAGAAGUAUUUUGUCGCCUAAUAACUGAUUCUCCUUGCAAGGUUUUACAAGACCUAGACAAAGACAAGAAUAUUGUAUUAUUUCAUAGGUAUGUGCACCAUAAGCACAAACAUACGUUAUGUUAAGCAGACAUAACACUCCCAGUGCACGAACAUACAAUGUACGCCGGGUACACACGAUACCUAGCAUUCAUUUGCAUAAUUGCUAUAACGUAUUUUGACAUAUGUUACAGAUUCAAGACGCCAAGGUUGGACUGACUUGGCCUCCCGAACCUAAUAUCUACGUAACCAGCAAUCAUAGUUAGGUGGUCAUAGAAUAUGCUACGUACAAGUAAGGGGGCAGUUUUAUCUAUGGAAUACCAGUACACUCUCAUAUGUACCCUAUACCUUCCACUCUGUCAUCCAUCAUCUGGUUUAGUCCUCUCCCCUAGCUGGAAUUAGACUACUACAAUACGAUCAAACAGAACUUUGUGCAUUCAGGUAAGUUGCUCUGGUUUAGACAACAAAGUUGGUUGUAAUACACAUAUCAACCAGUAGAGACGCAUCGGCUCAGCCACUUAGGUAUUUCCUCCCAGGCACCUUUUGCCAUAGUAAGAGGUCCCGCGAGGCCAACACCCAUCUUCCACGUAAGAAGUAAUGACGCCCCACGGACCAAAUCAUAGCUAAACGCCUCGUAUGUCACAUAGCAAGGGUAUCAACCGUCACAUCCCCUCCACAGAUCAAAGGCUCAGGUCUUGCAAGCCUAUAUAUAUAUAUAUAUAUAUAUAUAUAUAUUUCAGUUUGUCCCAAGUUCCAGAAGAAGGGAUGAUAUUUAUAUAUUCCAAGUACUCCACCUAGGACUGCCAAACCUACACGAAUAGGGGACACCAGCAGUCCAUCUUCAAUUAGAUCAUGGACCACCCCAUGAAUCACGACGAGUUACGCAGGGCAGCACAUCCUUUACAGCUACUGCCCGCAAAACAGAACUACUCAGGCUGAUGCAAGCCAAUACUAACAAAUCUGACAUGAGGGAUGGCUCAAGUGGGUGGCUCAAGGGGCACGAGCAAUGCCACCUGCAUACCAGGAUUUCCGCUGGCGUAACAUCCAUGGGGCAUAGGAACAAUGUACUAGAGACACUGGAAGCCUGUAGCUGUCCAGUCGCGACACCAGAAUCACUCGCACCGAUAGUCCGGGCCUUCCCAUUCCCAACCCGGUAAUACCAUCAUCUUAUGGUCUCAAGUCAUUACUCCAAACCAUAUGAUACAGGCAAAUCUCAAGAAGGACAUACUGGAGGGCAAGGAUGUUAAUCCCGUCUCACUUCUCAUUGUCACCCAAGAUGUCACAGAGAACUGCUCAUACACCUAGGGCGAUAUCUCAGUGGUCCUUAAGGCCAGAGACACAAGUCCGAGUUAAAUUAUUCAUCAGUAUAAUUAUAACCUUCAUGGUCUGGGGUCAGUACAGACACUACUGCACUCCACAGAUCUCAGGCUAUAUUCCUGGCAAUUGUGUCCAGUACGUCUACCCUCAGGUCUUUGGACUCAACAGGUAUAUAGUACAUUUAAUUAUGGCUUUUCAGCACCUCUAUCAUGUUCCCCGUGUAGACCCUACACCGAUCAUAUGUUGCGCUGAAAGUUACUGUACGAUCUCAGUAUGACCAUGUUCAAUUAUGGCUUCACUGUCAUAACCAGUAACUUUCAACUGAUCCACAACUUAAAAUAAACAUCAACCCACCCCAUUAAAUUCCCCUCAAACUUACGUUACCUCCCAGGUCCACAGGAACUACAUUGGGCCUCUCUCAAACUCUUAUGCAUAGUCCUCACACAAAGCCAUCUAUGGGCGUUUUUGCAACAUAAUUCAGGUAAUCUUAGUGGACAACACGUCUUAUUUACAACCCCUCAUUUGGGCACUAAGUUCACAUAUCAGCUGGAUCGGAAUGUAUGCGUAAAGUGCAGCUAUCUCACAGCUUGCUACCUGUAAGUCAAACACAUCUUAAAGUAUUAUACUUCUGCUAUAUCUUGCACUGUCCACAUAUAGCCACACAGUAGCUCUCCUCACGACCCUACCUACACGGCCUACUCCUGGCCAAACGCACAGAAGGUAAUAAUUCCCUCAUAACAGACGUUCUCCUUACCUCUCUUAUUUUACUACUUCAAUCUAGCAUAUUGUCAAUUUACAACGCGUGCAACAUGCCACAUACAUUAGGACACAUACUGAAGUCAUCAUGUGGGUCAUUUAAGUUUCCCGGGAUCGACCUCACUAGCCAGCCGCCAUUGGGCUUACAUAGUCAAUUCCAUAUUGGACUGUUCCCACAUCACCAUUACGUAUUAAGACCAGUCCAUAUACAUCAUAUUAUACUGUCCUUCCUGCUUUCCUGGCUAUUUGACUGCUCGGGCAACCAUGAUACAAGUCACCACAUUAGCCAUGCACAUGCAAGGCCUAUGGUACGGCCUUACCUAGCAUCUAGGCUGUUGAGUAAUUCCAGCUUACAGGGGCAACUAUUGACCCAUGGCCAAUUUUCUUCACAACCACACUCUUUUAUGCAUUACAUACGACCCACCAAAGGGCUAUCCACCAUAGCACAAUGGCAGCCCCUCAUCUGGGCUAUUACAUAUGGCAUAGGAAUUAAAAUUUUGCCAUAAGUUUGCAUUUGUGUGACAACCUACCACAGCAUGCAUCUACACGUGGCCCUCACUAGGCCUUCACUCACGUGAUAUACGACCCACCGCGAGCAAUCCACUACAGCUCAAAUUCAGCCCACAGGUGGGCAAUUACAGACAAAUAAGGUCACGUUAGACCACUCAUAUCCUCCUUAUACGGCCUUUCUCGGCAUUUAAAAACUCCAGUCACAGACACUUUACGUGAUCUCCAAUUUUAGUUCCCGCUGGUAAACCAGGAAUGUUCCACAUAAUUCAUACAUAUUUCAGGUUCUUCUAGAGGAAGGAUGCCCAGCGGGAAUUCACCUAGGCACAAUAUAUUUAAGAGUGUCUUCCCCAUACAUAUAUAUAUAUAUAUAUAUCUAUAUAUCUCUAUCUCAAACGAUAAACUGGAGCACUCAAAAGGACUUCACUAUAGAGAAGUCCUUUUGAGUGCUCCAGUUUAUCGUUUGAUGUAUAUUUGGGACGUUGGAUGCACCAAAGGCAAGAUUUACUGGAACUUUUCAGGGGUGAGUGCCUAAAUUAUCAUUUUUGUGUGUGUGUGUGUGUGUAUGUAUGUAUAUAUAUAUAUAUAUAUAUAUAUAUAUAUUGUAUGUAUAUAUGUGUGUGUUUUACUAGGGUCAUCUACAUAUGUAGUCACCCCGAUGCAACGUCUUACACAGGGCUUGCUGCAAGCUCGCAGGACAGUUGGCUGUGGUGUAGGUGCCUGGAAAAGUAAGCCAGAUCAAAGGGUUUCGUAGAACUCUGCACGCUUCAAGGUAUAUCCCACCAUAGCCGCAGCAGCAACAUGGGGUCAUUCAUGGGCAAGCAAACCGGUUUGAGGUCUCUGACUAUUUGUCAAUUGGCCACAUAUAAACAAGUCCGGUCUUGUAUCCCUUAUUAUGAAUUUAUCAGACGGCUAACGUAGGGAAAGCCUGUCACCAUUUUUAUCUAGUAUAUUACCACGUACCAGGCAUUUACAAUACAGCUGCUGACCAGUUAUCUAGUCUUCAGUUUCAGGCGUUCUGGAGGUCCCUAACAACUGCCUCACCGAUAGCCAUGAUCGCUCCCCAGCUCCAAGAAUUACCUAUGGUACAGAAGAUUUUCUAAGUUACAGCAGGAAGUCACACAGUUGGCCUUCAAAGAUUACGCACACUGCUAUGACAGAGCUUACUGCAUAUAUCGAAGUUCAUGUCAGAUCACCACCUUAUAAACUGGUUCAAGAAUACAACGUUGGGGGGCUUUCGCAACUUUUGCCACAUCAAAAUAAAGGUCACACAACACUAUUAGGUUAUAUCUCCUGGACAUUUUACACCACAUGUUUCAGUUACAAACACCAUUCUAAAAAAAACAAAACGCCAUAUACUUGGCUUAUUAUGGUUUCCUAUGAUAAUUUACCAUCACAGGGCAACAGGAUUCCAAGCUUUGCCUACGGUAUUCUAACCUGUACAAAUACAGGAUCACUACGUGUUAAGCUUACCAUCAACUAAGACCAGCCAGAGGGGUCAAGAGGUACUUUUUCAGUACUACCCCACCAACAACGCAUACCUCAGCCGUCACAGGAAUUAAGGAAUGUAUUUGUGCAAUGUCAUAGUAAUACGCUAACUCCAUGACUUGUGUUUUCGUAAUAAAUAUCUUUGAUAACACUAUAUGGGUAUUCCUUUUUGCCCACUUAUUUACCGACCUACCACACACGUCGGUUUCUGCACACCUCUACUGACUUUUUAUUAUUAUGAUAAGUAUACUCACUAGAUAUUUCAUACAAUACUGAAAUUGCCCCGAACACAAAUUGGAAGGCGGGGCCUGAAGUUGUGGGAGGGGCUAUGUCCCUUUAAAAGGGACUCCCCCUCCUAUCUAACUUACCUACUGGGCCAGACAGGCUUCUGGCCCACCCUCCUCUCCCUCUAUUCAAUACUAUUUAAGGUAGGCCCACUAAUAUCCAGGCCUACCACACACGUCGGUUUCGGCACACCUCUACUGACUUUUUAUUAUUAUGAUAAGUAUACUCACUAGCUAUUUCAUACUAUACUGAAAUGGCCCCGAACACAAAUAUAUAUAUAUAUAUAUAUAUAUAUAUAUAUAUAAACAAAUCAAUAAAAUAUCCAUAGCAGUGUAAAAUAUCCACAACGUGUUUCACCAACAAGGCUUCAUCAAGUGGAGAUAAAACAGCGUUGUGGAUAUUUUAUACUGCUGUGGAUAUUCUAUAUUGUUUUAAUAAAGGUAUUUUGGCUACUUCCAUUUGUCACUUUUUUAUUUGUUAUUUUAUUUUCUACCUGGCAUCCACUUUAUGUUACAGUGAGGACUAUUCCUAAAGAAUCCAAGGUGGGGAUUAUACCACUUACGCCCUAUACAGUGAGCACUUUGUCUGCUCUACUAAAUGUGAGUAACAAUUAAUUAUUUCAUUCUCCUGGCAUUUUUUUUUUUAUACAGUGAGCACUAUUGUUGUCUCUUUUAAAUUUCUUUUAUGGUCUACAUAUUGAAAAAAGUCUACCUAACAACAUAUCAUCACAUAUCCCUAGGUGGGGAUUGUAACACUGCACGCUAUUCAAACUAGAGCUGGUUAUAAGCUCUUAAAAUUGUGAGAAGGACUAUAUUAGACUUUUUAUACUGGUAUUAUCUAUCUCUGGGAUAUAUUGCACUAUUGGUUUUUCCUUUUGUUUUUACAUACGGAUGAAUACCUUGAACUGUUUUAUAAGAAUUAUUCUGGAUAUAUUUGAGGCUAUAUCUUCUGGCAAGUUUUAUUGGACUUAUUUUUUAUAUUGGAGUUAUAUAUUUUAAACUCUACUUUGUCUAUUCUGCUUUGUUUAAAAAACAAUGGUGGUUUAGUUACAGUUUAUGAUCAUACAUUGCAUAAGCCUGCCACAACGUCAAUGUACCUCAUUCUUGGCAGGUCCUACUUUAGCAGCAUAAUGCCUGCUCUUUUAUAUAAAUAAGUUUUCACAGUAAAUAUAUUGAAAUGCAACAUAAAGUGCCAUUGUCUAGCAAUAUGAUAUGAAGAAACUGAAUACAGCACUAGUUCCAGCAUUUAAAUAGUAAUUACAAAGAAGUCAUUUUUACCACAAUCUAAAUCAUUUUUUAAUCACUGCAACCUUAUUAAUCUGUUUCAGUAAUAUGCAAUUACAAAAUGUAGUGAAUCUGUUUUUAUCAAUAAUGUGAGCAAUCCAGACUAGAAAUGAGUGCCUAGUGCUCUGUUCCUAAGUCUACCAUUUAUCUCUGCCUAGACACCAGCUUGUAAAAGCCAUUACUCAUAGUAAAACAAUAAGCAUAUGUGAUGUAAGGAACUGUUAACCAUAAAAUCACAAUCACAGAUCAAUGCUCAGGAAAAAAGGGAAAUUGGGGGCACAUCCGAAUCAUGCAUUUCUAUGUAGUGGUGCUGAUUACAAAUUAGGGAACAUCACGCACAAAUAGAUAAAUACAUAAAAAUAAUAGUUUAACACUUUACAAGCCUACUUAAAAUUACAUAUAUUGGACAACAAAUAUGGGGAUUCAGUUACACCAGAGGUUCCCAAACCAGUCUUCAUGACCCACCAACAGUCCAGGUUUUGACAGUAUGUCUAUUGGAAUAAAAAAAGGGAAAUACAUAAACCCUGGAUUGUUAGUGGGCCAUGAGGACUGGUUUGGGAACCACUGAGCUACACCAUAUGGCCAUAUUGUGUAAAGCCCACCACUAUUUCACAGUACCCCAAUAUAGGUUGGUCCUAUUUAAAUUUUAACAAUGGAGAUUAACAUGCAUAUGGAACACGUCCUGCUUAAACUGCUUUCAGAGACUCUCCUCAAUUUAUGCUUUCCUGUGGUCACCUUGGGUGCUCAGCCCAAUGGAAAACUGGCCUGGAUUCCAAAUCUACACAGAAAAAAAUGGGAUUUAGGGCAAACCUGGAACAUGCAUUUAUAAGUCGUGGUGCUGCUGUAAAGACCAAAAUGUAUCAUGUGAAUUGAACGUGCUUGUGAAUUGCAAAAUUUGGGUUAUGACCACAAUUUGUACUAAAAAUUCCAAUCUGAAUAUUCACUUCCUGCAAUUCAUGUGGCAAAUUUAGAGAUUAACCCACACUUCAAUAACAAUUUGUUUUUAAUGCAGUGUCUGAAUUGCAUACACUUUAUUGCCAUUUGGACAUUUAUCAAAUACUAGAUUAUAACAUCCUAAAUCAUAUUCAGGGUUUCUGUUCACCUGCACUAAAUAAAAAACAAUUGGAGGUAACAUUGGAGAUUUAUAAUAUCAUAUAUAUUUAUAUUUAAAGUAUGUUUGCAGCUCUAAAUAAAAUAGAUAAACAGAGACAACUAAAAUAGCAGCAAUUUCCCUUGAAGGAAAAAAACACGUCAGAGCCAAUUAUGCCUAUACAAUAGCACAAAAAAAUGCAUAAAGAAAAGGAGGAAUUACUUACUGCUGUGCAAAGAAUAAAUAAGACGCUGAAGCUCUAUAAAAGAAUAAGAGGAGCGAAAUGGACUUCCUACAAAACUGAUUUCCCGUCACUAGAAUUGCACUAGUAGCUCUAUCUCUCGCAAAAACACAGCUGCCAGCUUGCAGUACAACACCAGGGUCAGUGACAGCCAAGUCAGGGGCAAUCACAGUAGACAAUUGAUGGUGCAAUACAGGUAUGGUUUUUUAAAAAUCUUUUUUGAAGUGUAAGAGUCCUGCUUUAAGUAAUAAAUAUAUAUGCUUUGGUUGAACGUUAUUAUUUUGUGUGAUUUUUGCACGGCUUUCCAUGCCCCUCUUUAUGUUGACAUAUAUUGAGUGGAUAUCGGAGGGAUAAGAUAAACAAGCAAGGAAGCAACAGAUGCCAUUACAAUUAUUAUAGAACUUGGGCUGGGGCACAAUAUACUACAUUAUGAGGACUUUUAGAAGAUUUUAUAUAUGUAUCUAUCUAAUUUUACCUAUUCUGUACAUUUGUUGUCCCAGUAUUUUAUUUUUUUAUUUGUUCUUAUUAGGUGCCUAGCAAUAUUUAUACGUUUUGCUUAACUAAUGUAAAAUUACCUGUGGACUUCAACCUAACAUCAGGUGAAACAAUAGACAUCAUAAUAAACAGAAUGAGAUGCAGACUUGUCCCAAAUACUUACACCUGCCCUUUAGUUAGGAGACAAACAGAGUUAAUCACUAAAGUGAAAAUUCAAAGUAAAUUUCAAGUAAAAGCCAAAGUAGUCAAAAUGAAAACAUUCCCUAAAUCAGCUAGGCGUCCAGUUUUGCUACAUGGGCCUCAAAUUUGAAAUUCAUUUUGAAUUCUAAUUUGGUGACUAACCAUGUAUGUUUAUAUGAUCCACUAAAGCAUUGUCUUUGUACCCCGUAUUUGCAAUUUGACCCCAAUUAGUCCUUACAUAAUACAAAAUAUUAAAGAGUUUUUUGCAAGUUGGCCUACAGCACUUUUUUAUUAGGAAUCCAAGCACAUUCCAUGUUUCUCUAAUGAAACCAUUGAUUUCCAGAUGAUAGGCUUAAAUCAUACCCCCUCUGUUUAAGUUCUCGAUCACAAAAAGAUUACUUUGUGGAAGAUUCUGUUUUGCAGUUUCUGGAUAGAUUACCUCCAAUGUCAUAUUAACGGAAAAGGCUAUGUCCCGAUGAAGGGACUGGACAUCUGUCCUGAGGUGCUAGGUCCAGGUUCUGAACAUGAUUUAUACAUAAAUAAAUUACUAAAAGCAAUAUGCUACAUUCAUUGUAGUAUUUAAAAAAAGUCUUCCCUCCCUCAACCUAUCCUAUCUUGCACAAGUCCUAAAUAACCAUAUUGUUUUUAUAUCCUCUCUGUUCUUGUGUGUCAUUGACUGCCCCUUUCCUGUCUCCAGUCUCAGGUAUUCUCAUGGUACAGGUAGGCCUGAGUAUUGAGGAAAAACAACACUGUACCAUUUUAAGAUAUGUCUUUAUGACAAAGCAGGCAGCAGGUGAUUAUAGUUCUAUAUAAACCUUAUCAUAAGAUCAUAACUGCAUCUUAUCCCACAUGGAGCAGAUGCACGAAAAACAACUUGCAACUGUUUCAACAUGAACUAGUGAAACACUAAAGUUACAAAGUGAGCAAGGAAUAAAAAUUGAGACUAUGAAAAAAUAUUCAGCAACGGGGCCAGGUUCAACAUUUUCAUUAUGCAAAUAAGAUCGGUGCAGAGCAAUUAUCUUGAUGUAGAAUUAAUGCUGAAAAUAGAUAUCAAAAUUAGGAAGGAACAAAGAAUCAAACUAGUGGUGAAACAUCUGAAUGAUUUGGCACAGGAACGUAAUAGUUCUAAUUAUUAUAACUUCAGUAAUGGCCUUAUAAGCACACCGGCAGCAAGCCAAACAGAAUAAGAUAAUCUGUGGGAAUUGUGUGUCCAUCAGCAGUAUCCCAUUGUCAGGAAACUGACAGGGAUCCAAUACGCAGAGUGCGCACAGAAGGAGGUACGUAUACCGGACCUUAGAAUGGCCGGACUAACGUAAGGACAAAGCAAGAAUAGUCAAAAGGUAAGCCGAGGUCAAGGGAGCCGGAGGACAGGUAAGCGAGAUACAAGCCGAGUCAAAGGAGAGGAGAGGACAACAGGACAAAAGGCAAGCAAGGGUCAAAACCGGAAACACUAGAUAAAGAACGCGCUGAGUGACUAGCAAGCUAGAACCACGACAGGGCAAUGAGCAGUAGUAAAGGUUUCCUUUAAAUACCCUGUUACCUAAAUAGAGACCACGCCCCCAAAAGGUCCGGAAUAGCGGUUCCCGGCACUUUAUGCAAAUGCCGACGUCAUGACGUCGACGCUAGCCGUCGCGUCAUAAAAGGGGGAGGAGCUAGCGCGGCCGGCGCGAAAACGGCCGGAAUAUGCCGAAAUGCUAGGGGAAGGGAGCCCCUAAGCAGAGAGGAUGUCCUCCCUGGAUACAUCACCAACAGGUACCCUGACAGUACCCCCCCUUCUAGAAACGCCCACCGGGCGGAUGGGACCUGGCUUAGAAGGAAAACGAACGUGGAAGGCCCGAAGAAGACGAGGAGCAUGCACGUCUAUACCAGGAACCCAAGACCUCUCUUCUGGACCAUAACCUUUCCAGUCUAUGAGGUAUUGCAGCUUCCCCCUAGAAAUACGAGAAUCAAGGAUGGACUUGAUGAUAUAUUCCUCCUGACCAUCCACACGGACCGAGGAUGGAGGAGUAGAGCGGGAGGAAAAUCUGUUACAAACAAGAGGUUUCAAUAACGACACAUGAAAAGAGUUAGGGAUGCGUAGAGUAGGAGGUAGAUCCAGCAAAUAAGAAACCGGGUUGAUCCUCCUCAGUACCCUGUAAGGACCAAUGUAACGAGGAGCAAACUUCAAGGAAGGAACUUUCAGGCGAAUGUGUCUGGUACACAACCAGACCCUAUCCCCCGGAGAAAAAAUAGGAGCAGGACGUCUACGCCUAUCAGCAUGUGACUUAAACACCGCGGAACUACGUUCAAGAAUUUGUCGAGUCUGAUCCCACAACUUUCUCAGGUUGGCUAUAUGAAUAUCAACCGACGGUAUACCCUGGGAAGGAGACACCGACGGAAGAACAGUAGGGUUAAAGCCAUAGUUCAAGAAAAAGGGGCUAUUAUGAGUGGAACCACAAACAAGGUUGUUGUGAGCAAACUCCGCCCAAGGAAUCAGACCGACCCAGUCAUCCUGGUGUUCAGAAACAAAACAACGUAGAUAUUGCUCAAUUUUUUGGUUAGUGCGUUCGGCUGCUCCGUUAGAUUGAGGAUGAUAGGCCGAAGAAAAAUUCAGUUUGAUGCCCAACUGUGAACAGAAGGAUCUCCAAAAACGGGAAAUAAAUUGAGAACCCCUGUCUGACACAAUCUCAUUGGGAAUACCAUGUAAACGGAAAAUUUCUCUAGCAAAUAUCACGGCCAGUUCGGGGGAGGACGGAAGUUUAGGCAAGGGAACGAAAUGAGCCAUUUUAGUAAACCUGUCAAGGACCGUGAGUAUAACUGUAUGCCUAUUGGAAGCUGGUAGAUCAACAAUAAAAUCCAUAGCCAAGCAAGCCCAAGGUUUGUUGGGAACGACUAAGGGCUGCAAUAAACCACAAGGGAGAUCCCGCGGAAGUUUAUUCCUGACACAAACAUUGCAAGCCUUGACAAAGUCUUCCACAUCCCUACGUAAACCGGGCCACCAGAAGUCUUUUGAGAUCAGGCAGUAAGUUUUGUGGAUGCCGGGGUGACCAGCGAUCUUGCUAUCGUGGAAACAGCGAAUAAUGUCCACUUGGAAUUUGGGAGACACGAACAAGCGGCCCACAGGAGUACGUUCGGGAGCAAGAGAUUGUUCGUUCUGAAUAUCAGCGAGCAAUGGAGAGUGUAUUUUGACAUUGGUGUUGGCGAUAAUAUUGACUUCAGGAAUAAUAGGGAACAAAGUAUCCUCUGUAGAGGUGGUAGGUUCGUGCUGACGUGACAAAGCGUCUGCCUUAGUGUUCUUAGAACCAGGCCUGUAAGUAAGCACAUAAUUAAAGUGUGUAAGGAACAUAGACCAACGUGCCUGCCUGGCAGAUAAUCUUUUGGCCUCCCCCAUAUACGAUAAAUUUUUGUGGUCAGUCAAGAUAGUAACUGGGAGGACGGUGCCCUCUAACAAAUGUCUCCAUUCCUUUAAUGCCAUAAUGAUAGCUAAAAGUUCUCUAUCACCAAUGUCAUAUCUCCUUUCAGUGUGUGACAGUUUCUUGGAAAAAAAACCGCAAGGGUGCAGCGGCUUAUCUAAACUUUGUCUUUGGGAUAACACUGCGCCUAUCCCUGUUUCAGACGCAUCAACUUCAAGUAAAAAGGGUAGAGAGGUAUCAGGAUGAACUAAUACAGGUGCUGAGGCAAAAGACUGUUUGAGCGUUUCGAAAGCAGAUAAAGCCUCAGUAGACCAGGUUUUGGUAUCGGCUCCUUGUUUGGUCAUAUUAGUGAUAGGAGCGAUAACAGAGGAGUACCCUUUAAUAAAACGUCUGUAAUAAUUAGAAAAUCCAAGAAAUCUUUGUAUGGCUUUGAGUCCCUUAGGUAAAGGCCAAUCUAAAAUCGAUUUUAGUUUGGUCGGGUCCAUCAUAAACCCGUCUUUGGAAAUUACGUAACCUAAGAAAGUUACCUGAGACUGGUCAAAGCUACAUUUUUCCAAUUUACAAUACAAUCCAUGUUGUAAAAGUUUCUGUAAUACCUUUCUGACUUGUCUAUGAUGUGAAUUAAUGUCUCUAGAAUGGAUUAGUAUAUCAUCCAAAUAUACAAUUACACAUUCAUGUUGGAAUUCUCUAAGAACUUCAUUGAUCAAGUCUUGGAAGACGGCCGGGGCGUUACAAAGCCCAAACGGCAUUACGGUAUACUCAUAAUGCCCGUAACGGGUAUUAAAUGCUGUCAUCCAUUCAUCUCCUUGUUUAAUUCGCACUAAGUUAUAUGCUCCCCUUAAGUCAAGUUUAGUAAAAAUACUCGACCCCUUUAGUCUGUCAAAGAGUUCAGUAAUCAAAGGAAUAGGGUAAGCAUUUCUGAUAGUAAUUUUGUUCAAUCCCCGAUAGUCUAUACAAGGACGUAAGGUACCGUCUUUCUUUUCUACAAAAAAGAAACCCGCCCCCGCCGGAGAGGAAGACUUUCUAAUAAAUCCCUUGUCUAAAUUCUCCUUGAUAUAUUCCUCUAAAACUAAGUUUUCCUUGGUGGAUAGAGGGUAUACCGUACCCCUGGGAGGCAUAGUACCAGGGAAAAGUUUAAUAGAACAGUCAUAAGACCGGUGGGGAGGUAAAGUAUCCGCCUUACCCUUGUCAAAUACAGAUUUGAGGUCUAGAUAUUGUAAUGGUAUCUGAACGUCUGUGGAUUGAGAAGUGUUAGCAUAAGAGUUCACGGGGCAAACAGAAGUAACUCUCUGCAGACAUUCUUUCCUACAACCCAUACCCCAAGAAACGAUUUCUCCACCCUCCCAGUCAAUCUGAGGGUUGUGUCUCUUGAGCCAAGAAUAUCCUAGAACCACUGGGACUGCCGGGGAGGAAAUUAACAGAAGGGAAAUCAACUCUUCGUGGAAAAUACCAACAGUAAGCUUAACGGGUUCGGUCUCAUGGAAUAUUACUGGUUCAGAUAAAGGUCUACCAUCUAUGGCCUCAACGGCCAAGGGUGUAUCUCUCAAUUGGAAUGGGAUACAAUGCAUAUUAGCGAAAGUUUGGUCUAUAAAGCUUUCUGCUGCUCCAGAAUCUAAUAAUGCCAUCGUAGUAAUAAACCCCUUUUCCCAAGCUAGAGAGACAGGAAUCAGAAGCCUAUGGUCUUUUUUAUUAUGCAUAGAGGACAGUAAUGAAACACCCAAGGCCCGUCCUCUAAGGGAACUUAGGUGCGAGCGUUUCCCGGACGAUUAGGGCAACUGAGACGUAGGUGACCUCUCAGCCCGCAGUAUAAACAGAGACCCUCCCUUCUUCUGUACUGUCUCUCAGCCUCAGAUAAGCGAGUAUUACCUAUUUGCAUAGGUUCUGGUAGAGUAGGAUUAUAGGAGUCAGGGUUCUGAAAUGAGGGAGCGAGUCUUACAGGAAGUCUAGUAACUCUUUCCCGAGUGUUCUGCCUCUGUCUCAUGCGUUCAUCUAUUCUGGAAAUGAAGGAUACUAAAUCCUCUAAAUUUUCCGGAAGUUCUCUUGUGGCAAUUUCAUCUAGAAUUUCAUCAGACAACCCAUUCAAGAAAACAUCCAUAAAAGCUUGUUCGUUCCAUUUCACUUCUGCUGCCAAUGAUCUAAACUCUAGAGCAUAUUCUACAAGGGUCCUAUCUUGUUGUUUAAGGCGUAACAGGGAUCUGGCCGCAUUAAUCUUCCUCCCUGGGGGGUCAAAGGUUCUUCUAAAAGCCGUGACAAACGCAGUGUAGUUGUAGACUAAAGGAUUGUCAUUCUCCCAAAGGGGAUUGGCCCAUCUAAGUGCUUUAUCUAUUAGCAGGGUUAUAAUAAAGCCUACCUUAGCCCUGUCAGUGGGGUAAGCCCGGGGUUGUAGUUCGAAAUGUAUACUUAUCUGGUUUAAAAAACCACGACAAGCAUCAGGCGAACCCCCAUAUCGUAAUGGUGACGUGACAUGGGAAGAUGCGCCUACAGUGGCUACUUCCAAACCAGUACUUAGCGAGUGGCUAGCAGUGGAACGUAUUUCUUCAGACUGGGUACUGGAGCGUGUCAACAAAGUUUGUAACGCUAAAGCCAUUUGGUCCAUUCUAUGGUCCAUGGCCUCAAAUCUGGGGUCAGGAGGACUAGCACCUGCAGGAUCCAUCAUGGCCCUGUCGUAAUGUCAGGAAACUGACAGGGAUCCAAUACGCAGAGUGCGCACAGAAGGAGGUACGUAUACCGGACCUUAGAAUGGCCGGACUAACGUAAGGACAAAGCAAGAAUAGUCAAAAGGUAAGCCGAGGUCAAGGGAGCCGGAGGACAGGUAAGCGAGAUACAAGCCGAGUCAAAGGAGAGGAGAGGACAACAGGACAAAAGCAAGCAAGGGUCAAAACCGGAAACACUAGAUAAAGAACGCGCUGAGUGACUAGCAAGCUAGAACCACGACAGGGCAAUGAGCAGUAGUAAAGGUUUCCUUUAAAUACCCUGUUACCUAAAUAGAGACCACGCCCCCAAAAGGUCCGGAAUAGCGGUUCCCGGCACUUUAUGCAAAUGCCGACGUCAUGACGUCGACGCUAGCCGUCGCGUCAUAAAAGGGGGAGGAGCUAGCGCGGCCGGCGCGAAAACGGCCGAAAUAUGCCGAAAUGCUAGGGGAAGGGAGCCCCUAAGCAGAGAGGAUGUCCUCCCUGGAUACAUCACCAACAGGUACCCUGACACCCAUACAACAAACAGGCAAUAUUACGAUUCAUUUACAGACGAUGCUGGAAGGAAUACUGUAGUUUAAUAUCUUAAAGAUCACCAUGAAAACUUUUAUUUUUAGCAUUCUGAAAGGAGUCUGUUUAUCUUACUGGGUAUAUUAUUGGCCAUGAGUGAAAUAUUCAGCAAAUACAAAAAUAUUAGGUUUUUAUUUAUUUUUGGCUUUUCUGCUAGUUUUUUUAAUUGGACGACCAUUAUUUGGCAUCCUAAAAUCUUCUGGGUUCUGGUUUUCCUCAUUACUUGGAUCCUUUAUUCUAGGCAGUUUUUUAAUCUGGAGUCACAAGCUAAAGUCUAUUUCAGGCUAAUCUGCCAUUGCAUAUUUCUCCAGGCAGAUUACAUAGGAAUAUAGCACUGUUACUGCAUUUUGCCAGGAGGAGACGGGAGCUGAAACUUAACUACGACUCAUCCCAUUAAUUUUAGAUGCGCCAGCCUGCAGCUACUACUGUUUAACCUAACAGAGAGAGGCAUAAAUAGAAAUCACUGUAGUAAAUAAGCAAUUUCCCCGCAGAAACAAACCUUCACAUUUCCAACAUGCACAUAGUGACAAUGUGUUCCCUUAUGAUACUAGCUCAAAGAGGGAUCUUGUAGUAACCACUGACUUUCUACCCAAUCUGCCAUUGCCUAGGAGGUAAUUGCAUAUUUGCAUGUAUGUAAAGUAAAAUUCAAAGUUAAAGCCAGUAAGUUAAUGUGAGCACAUGCAGGACAAAUUAGUAUAAUAUUUAAUUUCACAUUCUGCCCCCGUGGCUCUCAAUGGUAUUUUAUAUUAUCUACACUUUAUGAGCCAUGUAAAAGGGUAAAAUGAAACAAUAUCUUUGUUAAUGUGACAGAUAAAGGGGCAAACUAACACAUUUGCCAGUUUUCAUCCUGAAAAAGGAAAACCUCAGUCAGUGUCGUGAAGUUGGUGAGUGGUGUACAAAGUAGGUAUCUAACGUAAUAUUGCAAUAAUUAGUACUCACCUAUUUUUUUUUUUCACAUUGUGCAGUAAACAUUUUUCCCCUAAUGAAAGGAUGCUAUUCUUGAAUGAAUGGUUUGCUCAGUGCUCAGUAGUAUUCACAUUUCAUCUGCAUUAUGACAUCAUCCUGAACUAUUAUGACCUCUCAAAGUCUUGUUGAUUUACUAAUGCCAAAGCAGGCCAAAAUUCUUAUUUAGUAUUUUGAUAUAUAAAUUAACCCCUUAAGGACCAUAGCAAGUAUCUAACUUCCUAUCCGAAACAAAUCCUAGAAGUUUGCUAUAUGUUUGUUCAAAUGUAAUUUUCCUCUUUUGAAUAAGGGGAAACCCAUACAUUUUAAGUAUCUUUUUUUUUUUUUUUUUUUUUUUAAAUCAAAACUGGUUGGGACACAAUUCUUGGGUAUAUUAAUAAACUUUUAGGACUGAAACAAGUGUGGACAGAACAGAUGGCAAUAUUACAUCUGAACUUACCACCUCAGGUCGAAUUGUGGCCACAAACUAAAGAGCGAGUCAAAUGUCAGUGUAAAAUGGAAUGGGAAAUUGCCUCUAAUUUUUGAGUUAAUCAAGAAAAAUAUUGUAUCUGGGAUAAAGGUCUUAGAGGCGACGUGGAGCUGACACCUAGAGCGAACCUGAGUUGAGUUUAUUAUAGUCCUUCCCUUCUCUAUGCAGCCAUGCCCCCUUAUACUGCCCUAAGAUAAUUUAGGUACUGUAAUUAUCUUCACAUUGUAUGUUUAUACAUGGAAGUCUAAAAUAUAUAUGUAAUUUUGAUAUAACUUUUAUAAGAUAAUGAAUUAUGCAUGUCUUUUUAUAUUUUGAAAACCCCCAAAAAAUAUAUAUUUUAAAGUAUCUUUUUUUUUUUUCCAUUCUUUAUUUUUGAAGUGCAGAAUACAUUAUUUAUUAAUUAAUAUUAUUAUAUUUAUAUGGUGUCAACAAAUUCUGUAGCGCUUUACAAUUGGUGGACUAACAAACGUAAUUGUAAACGGACAAGUUUGAUACACAGAAACAGAGAGGCCCUGCUCAAUGAGCUUACAUGCUAGAGGGAGUGGGGUAAAGUGACACAAAAGGUAAGAGAAGUAGAUUGGUAGAAUAGUAUUCAAUGAAGACUUAGUGUGGGUUUUUUUCUGGAGCCAACAGUUUAAUUGAUAUGCUUUUGUGAAAAAGUGAGUUUUUAAUGAUUUUUUUGAAGGAGUGGAGACUGGGUGAAUGUCUAACGAAAAAGGGAAAGGAGUUCCACAGGAACGGUGCAGCCCUAGAGAAGUUUUGGAUAUAAGAAUCAGAGGUGGGAGUACGAACAGAGGAUAGACGCAAGUCUUUGGCAAAGCGUAGGGGCCUAGACAGAACAUACUUGUGUAUUAGGGAGGAAUGAUAGGUGGUAGGAGCAUUAUGAUAGAGAUUUGAAAGCAAGAACCAGAAUUUUUUAUUGAGCCCUAUAUCUUACGGGAAGCCAAUGCAGGGACUGACAGGGGUGAGGGAGGUGCGGGCGGACAGGAAAAUUAGCCUCACCAACGCUUUCAUUAUAGAAACGGGAGUAGCAACACUUGAGGGAGGAAAGACCAGAAGUUAUGUUUUGGACAAGUUGAGCUUAAGGAAGAGGGCAGCCAUCCAGUUAGAAAUAGCAGAGAGGCAGUCAGAGACACUAGUCAAGAGGGGCGGGUAGAGAUCAGGGGAGGACAGAUAGAUUUGCAUGUCAUCUGCAUAGAAGUGAUUUUGGAAGCCAAAGGACCUGAUGAGUUUACCAAGGGAGGCAGCAUAGAUCGAGAAUAGUAAGGAACCAAGGACUGAACCUUGGGGGACACCAACAGAGAGAGGUUGUGAGGAAUAGGCAGAUCCAGAGAAAGAAAUGCUAAAAGAGCAGUGGGUGAGGUAGGAGGAGCACCAGGAGAGAGCAAUAUCUCAUAGACAAAGUUUACAGAGGAUGAGAAGAAGCUGUUGAUGAUCAACAGUAUCAAAAGCAGCAGAAAGGUCAAGGAGAAUUAGGAUAGAAUAGUGACCAUGAGAUUUUGCAGCGAGUAGAUCGUUUGAUACUUUGGUCAGAGCCAUUUCCACAGAGUGCUAGCACGGAAACCAGACUGAAGUGGGUCGAGCAGAGAAUUGGAUUUGAGGAAGUCUGUCAAUCUCCCAUACACAAGUCUUUCAAGGAUCUUGGAUGCAAAAGGCAGUAGUGAGAUAGGGCGGUAGUUGGACGGGGAGUUAAGGUCAUGGUUGGACUUUUUUAGAAUCGGGGUUACAGUUGCAUGUUUGAAGGGUAAUGGAAAUAUGCCAGAGGAGAGGGAGAGAUUGAUAAUUUUAGUGAGAGGCAAAGCAGGAGAAUGAGACAGAGUACAGAUGAGAUGCGAGGGAAGAGGAUCAAGGGAGCAAGUGGUGGGGCGGGAGGACUGGAGCAGAUCAGAAACCUCUUCCGCUGUAGCAGGUGCAAAUGAGUAUAGAACAGCAGAGGGAGUGAGGUUGGGGGAAGUAUUGUAAGUGGAAGGAGAGAGAUGAGAGAUCUCUUCCCUAAUUGUGGAGAGUUUGUCAGUGAAGUGAGUUGCAAAGUUUGUGGCCGUUAAGUCGGUAGGAGGAGGAGGAGCAACAGGGCGAAGAAGAGAGUUAAAAGUGUGGAAUAGUCGUUUGGGUUCGCGGGAGAGUGGGGUUAUGAGGGUAUUGAAGUAAUUUACUUUUGUAGAGGAAAGAGCCAAGCUGUAAGAGCGCAGCAUAAACUUAUAGUGGAGAAAGUCAGAUGCGGAGUGAGACUUCCUCCAGCAGUGUUUAGCAGUGAUGAAGCAUUUUUGGAUGUAUCAAGUCAGCUUGGUGUGCCAAGGUUGUAGUUGGGGGCACUUCCUGCAUUUAAGUGUAGGAGGUGCCAUGAUGUCUAGUUGAGAGGAAAGGGUGGAAUUGUAGAAGGAGAUUGCAGAGCUAGGGCAUGUGAGGUUUGAGAUAGGUAAAAGGAGAGUUUGGAGGUUAGUGGAGAAGUUCUCUAGGUCAAGUCCAUUGGAGUUUUCUGUGAUAUUGAUGUGCAGAGGGUGGUGUCAGUUGGGUCCUGGGUAUGCUGAAUAUACAUAUUCAUAGAUUAACGAUGACAGUUGGUUAAACAUAAUCAGAAAGAAUAAACAUACAGGUGAAACGUAACAUGUCAUGAGAGCCUGUACUUUUUCUUGUUGUAUGGAAAAAUAAAAGUAAUACAAGCAGAACAAGCUAAACUGGCAUGUCUAGAUCUAGCUGAUAAUGCAGGCUUGCAAAUGAAUACAGUUGCUAUCAAAUAGCACACACAAGACUUGAGAAAUAGAAACACUAGACAUGGUGAGUAUAAUAUAGGUAUUAGUAUGAAAUAUCAUGCCGACUGGAGUCACUGAGACUGUUCCUCUGGAACUAAAAACAUCACUAUAUCACUUCAAUAGGAUAUUAUACAAUGAGAAAAAUAAAAAUAAAUAAUAAGUGGCAUGGGUAGGAAUACAUAUGAAAUGGCUUUCUCUAUCAUCGAGUGAGAAUAAGCUUGGAUAGUAGUCCCAUAAGCAUGCUCAACAAACAGUGGCAAAGCUAAUACACCUCCUGGGAGACUGUGUCGGAGCAGGGCACCCCUUCAGCUUCAGGCCUUCAUGAGGGCAGGCAUCAUUAAACCACAUACAAGAAAACAAGUCCUGCACUCACUCCCAUCACUCCUGGGUGGCAGCAAGGACCCAAUACAUACAGAACUAAAUAACUUCCAUUUGUUUAAAUAUGCAUAGGGAUUUAGGAGAGAGCACAGGUAACUUUUUCUUUGUUUUUUAUCAUUAAACCACAGACUUUGGAUUCUCGUGAGACCGAGUCUAUUUGCUUUAAUGGGAGGGCAGGGGAGGUUAAUGGCAAUCUCCACUUUCUGCAGGUAAUAUUUCUCCCGCAUUGGUGAUGCACGGAGGCUAAGCCUCAGGUGGCUCUCAGCCUAGGCAGACAACUACAAGAUUGUUUAACUUUCCUCUCAAUUUUUCGCACUGGGGAGGCCUUACUGUCUCCAGCUACAGUUCAGAUAUGGUGGCUGAUUUGCGUGCUUGUAUAGCGCUGAAAAAUCUAAUUCAACCGUCAAAGGGAGUGGGCAGUGGAGUCGCUAGAAGCACUUGGGUUAGCAUUCGUGCCAUGUGGGGUUGAGCAAACCGCACCUGCCAUCUUGGAGUGUCGGAGAGUGGAGCGGUGUAGUGGAAACCAUGAUUGAGUAAUGAGUAGAGCUGGGACAGCUGACAAUACUCCAGAGGAGACCGGGCUAUCCCCUACCGGUCUAAGUGGGGGAGUAGGACUGCAGUGGUCCGAACCACGGAUUACAGAGCAGAUCCCCAAAAGGCUGCUGCCGAGUUUCCCUGACCUGCGGUAUAUGCAGGAUGAAACGUGCAGGCUAGGUAUUAGGGGUUAACACCCCAGUUUCAGCCGGAUAUGCAAGAUCUCGAGCUCCGCACAUCUGAACAGUCAGAAGGUGAGGCAAGUAUAAUUUUUCAAAGGACAGAUAAGGAUUUCUUUUAAUAACCAAUGUACCCUUUUAUUAUGAUUAAAACAACCCCACCACACUGUUUUAUCUAGGAGAAGCAUAAAGGAGAAUUUUCAUUAUAUGUUGCAUGGGCAGGGAAAUUGUAACAGGGGAACUAAGCUAAUAUACAAAGUAUAGGGAAGCUAUAAGGCUGAAUGACACAAGAAGCAUCUACUAGUUGCUCUACUGAUGCCCUACAUAAGUGAUGGUUUCUCUUGCCCACACAUCCAACAGCCCCAGCUCUCUGUGCCUGUGGUCUUCUCUUCUAAUCAUGUUAUGUUUGGUUUGCCUUACUGUCAUUCUCCUCUAGUCUGUCCCUGACUGCUCUUACCUGUGUUUCUCCUGUCUGUGCCUCCCAGAAGACCCCCUGUGUUUGUGUUCCCACUUGUUAGUGUCAUCCUAUCCCUUGUUCUCCUUUGUUUUUCUGCUUUCCCCCACACCUGUUUUAUUUGUUUUUUGUCCUGUAAUCGUUCUGUCUUUAUGGUUUUCUUGCUGUUUCUUUGUUGAUUUUUUUCUUUUGUUUAUUUUUUUUCUCAUUAUUUUCCCCCUUAUUUAUCCCCCUUCUCUUUUUUAUCUGUUUGUCAUUCUCUCUUUUUCCUUUCACGUACCAUUUUACUUUUCACCUUUUUAUUUUAUUUUUUCUCUACUUGUUUUGCCCCAUCUUUUCCCUUUUUUUUUUUGUUCUUUCAUUGUUUCGUUUUGUUUCCUUUGUCCCUUUUCUUUUCCUCCCCUUUUUCUUUUCCCACUUUCCCUUUUUAGGCCUUUUAUCCAAGAACUUAAAGUUCUCAUGAGCAUGCUGCCAAAUGCAUUUAUGCCUUUUCAGAAAACAGUCGAGAUAUAAUGCAGAUGCUCAUAUAAUGAGCAUCUGUUUAGAUCAGCGGUGGAAGAAGCUAAAUCAUAUGAAGAUAAAUCAUAUGGGUGGAUGCAUGAUAUUGCAUUAUUGCAAAUUAAGUGGUGCUUUAACCAAAGGAUCCAUAGCAAGCCAUGAAAAACUAAAAACAGUAAUGAAUCCAACAGAAACAUAAGGAAAAAGUGCAUAACAAUGUACUUUGUGCUAAAGAGUACCUGUAAGGGAACCAGGUCCCCAUUAAUCCCCAGUAGCUGCAACCUACAGUCCUGCAGCUAAAAACAAGGCUACACUAAGAUCUGUCAACAUGGGUGAGCCAAUAUAAAAACAGUUGUGUGUAAAUGUCCAUCUCAAAACAGGCAUUAUUGGCAUAUGGGGUCUUAAUACUCUCCCCCAUUAUACUAGUUGGGGGAACUUCUGAGGCUUCCUGAGCUGAGACGGUGAACCCCCAGUGAAUCAGUGUCAGCUUUGUAGCCUGGACAUCUGAGGUCAUAGCUUUUGUCCAGCUUUUUUAGGAAAAAGCUACAGUCAGCUAAUAUGGCCAGCACAUCAUUCUGUUGUACUGUCAGCUGAAAAGGGAACUUCAGUAUCAAACCAUCUUUGGUGAAGAAACUCAAGCAAAGGGUGCUGUGUUAUCAUUUUAUGCAGUGUAGAGGGUGCCAGAUCAUUGUAGCAUUGUUUGGUAAUCCCAUCCAGACCCAAAAGCAAGUCUCACACCUUUCGGAGGAUGGACUCCUUGGUUGUAUAGUAGUGACUUUUAAUGAUCACCAUGAGGGAUCCUCUGGUCCUGGUCUAUAGCUUAGUGCUCAGUGGGCUCUGUACAGGAAUAGCCCUGUAUUAUACAUAGUGUCUUAAAGUGCUGAAUCACUCUUACUGCUUCCAUGGGAAUUAAUAGGCUGUUGUAGACAUGUCCUACUAAUCAAAUGACCUUGAAUUAAUUAUCAGAAAGUGCAACCACUUCUAUAAAAGCCAAAGUUUUGCAGGGCUGGAGCAUUCAGGUGUGUGUUAACACAAUGCCAAGGAGGAAACACAUCAGUAACAAUCAUGUAGAAUAAAUUGUUGCUGCCCAUUAAACUGGGAAGGGUUAUAAGGCCAUUCCCAAACAAUUUAAAAUCCAUCAUUCUAUAGUGAGAAAAAUUAUUCUAAAGUAGAAAACAUUCAAGACACUUGCCCAUCUUCCAUGAAGUAGACAUCCCAGGAAAUUUCCACCAAGGUCAGAUGUACAAUGCUCAGAGAAAUUCCAAAAAAUGCAAGAGUAACAUCUCAGACUCCACAGGCCUCAGUUAGCAUGUUAAAGUAAAAGUACAAUAACAAUUAGAAAAGACUGAACAAAUAUGGUUUGUUUUAAUUGGAGAGAAGCUCUUCCUUCUAAAAAGAAGAUGGCUUAGAUAUGCAAAGUUGCAUCUGAACAAACAACAAGACUUCUUGAACAUUGUUCUUUGGAUAGACAAGACCAAAGUUGAGAUGUUUUGCCAUAAUGCACCUCAUCACAUUUGUUGAAAACCAAAUGCAGCAUAUCCGCACAAACAUCUCAUAACAACUGCCCAGUACGGUGAUGGAGAGGUAAUGAUUUUGGCAGCCACAUGACCUGAUAACUUUGAAGUCAUUGAGUCGACCAUGAACUCCUCUGUAUACCAUAGAAUUCUAGAGUCAAAAGUGAGGCAAUCUGACAGCUAAAGCUUGGCUGAAAGUUGGUCAUGCUCAGGACAAUGAUCCCAAUCACACCAGCAAAUUUACAACAGAAUGGCUGGAAAAGAAAAGAAUCAAUGGCUCAGUCAAAGUCCAGACCUUAACAUGAUUGAAAUACUGUGGCGGAACCUUAAGAAUUCUGUGCAUAAACAAAUGUCAGCUGUGGCGAAACCGACCUCGCCACUGGGCAUUGGAGAAGACUGAUUGCCAGCCUCCUGCCAUGUGACUAUGGCCCCUGGGAUGUAUUGCCCUUUAAAGAUAUGAUUUGGGAAUAAUAGAUUUGUGCUGCUGCUGGCCCUUUAAGAACCAUCUGGGGACAUACUAUGGAGUUACUGGGUGGCCACCAUUUCAUGUAUCAGAGGCACAUGGUGAGAACAAUGGAUGAAGCACAUGGUGAGAACAAUGGAUGGCGGCCAUUUUAACUCACAGACACUGUUUGGACUUUUCUACACGGUGCCAUCUCGCCAGUAUUUGGUCACAAAGACAUCGUGCAGUAGUUUUAAACUAUACAACAUGGGACACAUUAUGCAGUUAUUAUUUUUCAUAUAACCUGUAUAUGUUCUGCGGAAUCUGCAUUAAACUGUAUCUUCCAAACUACUGAACGGAUCUGGGUGAAUUUUGAAUAUGUGGUUACCCCUGGAUCCCCUGGUUCCCAGGAUAUUUUUAUGGGCAUGUUUUGGGCUCCCUGUGAUAUGUUUUAUAAUACUGUAUUUCUCUGCCUGUGAUAAUUAUAUUAACCAUUGUGUUCAGUAAUCAUAUCACAGGCAGUGGGGAGGAUUUUGUAUGGGAGUGUCUGUGUGUAUUGUACGGAUUGAUUGGUUGUAUUUCAAAACCCUGUGGGCAGUACUAUGUUUGUGGAUUGUGAAUAAAAGAGGCUGUAUGUGCCAGUAUCUGCUUGACCUCAAAACGAAGUGUCGUCUCGUUAUUGGGGGAAUUGGAUUGUAUGCUGAUUGCUAGGAGUGUAAGCUGAAUGUAUGCUUUUCCUGUUCAGCUGCUUACAGCAUUCAUAUGCUUGAGAGGAUUCGUAUGCUUCUCCAGUUUGGUGGUUGUGGUGUCUGCUGCAGUGCUUGGAGUCCUCAGGAAGCGCUAGGAGCAUCCAUCAACGGAGGUACCCAGUCGGGGUGCCAGGUGAUCCGUUACAUCAGCAAACCUCAAUGACCUGAAGCAAUGUUGUGAAGAAGAAUGGGCAAACAUUUGUCUGCAACAAUGUGAGAAACAGACAAAGUCAUUCAGAAAAUGAUUACUUCAUGUUAUUGCUGCUAAAGAUGGUUCUACAAGCUAUUGAAUCAUAAGAUGUACUUAGUUUUUCACACAUGGCUUCUCCACUUAGGUUUUAUUUUUUGCUUAAAAAAUCAUGACACAGUAUAUGUCAGGUGUUGUUGUUCAUCUGAGGUUGUAUUUACGCAAUUUUAAGAUCUGCUAAGGAACAUAUGAUUUUUAAUAUGUCCUAAUAUGUAAAAAAACAUUUUUAACAAAAAAUAGAAUUCACAUAGGGUUUAUUUUUCUUUUGCCAUGACUCCAUCACUCCAUCCAUCACGGAUUCCGUUAUGUUUUGCAGUCAUAAAUUGGAUUGACAUGAUUGGUUGUCCACUUUUUCUACUGUGUCUUGCAAUUAAGAAUAUUACUUGUUUAAAAUGCCUUAAUCAGUGCUUAAUGAGGUGUAGGCUUCUUCUUUUGGUUCUGUCCUCCAAUGUUUUGUCCAGCAAUGUGGUCUAUGAGCCCUCAAUCUGAAAUAUUUCCCAAAAGACUAUAAGCCUCUCCUUGAAAUAGAUAACUUCAAUUUCUUUUUUGGUUGAAGAUGAGGCCUCAAGGGGUUUCAGCCUAAACUACGUUAUCAGCCACAAAUCAAUCUCUACUGGAUACCAAUGGUUCCAAACCUGUCCCUUAAUAAGCUUUGACCAAAAACAUUUAAACUAGAUUGCAUUUAGUGCAUGCUACAAUAUAUCAAAAGUUGCUUUUCCCUUUAAAGGAAAACUCUAAGGUUAAAAAUAAAUAUAAAGUCACGAUAGUCUGCUCUCUACCACUGUUCAUCUUUUAUUAAGUCAGUCUAAUCCAGUGCAUGUCAUAGAAGCAUUCUCUUGGCGUUCCACCAGUCCAAUGCUUGUCAUAGAGAAUUUAUUUAAAUAAUUAUCUAUCAAUUAUAAUAAGCACUGUAUGUGUCCAUUGUCAUGCUGUACAUGAUGACGCUAAACAUGAAGGCCUUUCAUUUUUGAAGUUCUUAACAAAGAAAUAUCUCUAGUGGCUCUCAGUCUAACAUCCACUAGAGAUGUUUUCCUGACAAAGGUAAACAUGAUGCUUUUCAAAAACACUACCAAAGAAAUAGGACAGCAAAACUAUCAUAUUAAGAUUUAGUUCUUGUGGUGCUUAGAGUGUCUCUUUAAGGGUUUGCAGAUGCCCUGGCCUACCAACUGUUACAUAAUGACACAGUUUUAUAGUAUGAAAUAAAGUCCAUCAAGUCAGGUGCGUACCUGGAGCAUUUGGCACCCGGGGCGGAUCUUAUAUAUUUAGCAUUGAGCAGUGUUUGCAUUUUUUUUUAAUGUAUUUAGCACUGAGCCGUGUUUGUGUGUUUGAAUGUAAGCAUGAAGUAUGUGUGAGUGAAUGUAGUGGUGAGCUGGAAUAUGAUGUCAUAUUCCAGCUCCCAGCAUCAGUAGACAGCCCGCGCGGGGAGACAGCCGCCCGCCGCACUGAAGCCCCACUGGACCCCAGGGACAGGUUCAUGCCAGCUCUUCAGGUAGGGAGGCUGGGUGGACAUUUUUAGAUUUAAAAAAAUUAUCAUUUGUGAGUGUGUGUGUCUGUGAGUGUGUGUGUGUGUUUCUGUGAGUAUGUGUGUGUAUGUAUCUGUGUGUCUGUGAGUGUAUGUGUGUGUGUCUGAAUAUGUGUGUGUGUUCCCCUUUAUUCCCCAGGACUUGACCCCUGAUUUUUGUUUUGUUUUUACUCUUUUUGUAUACUUGAUAUAUGUGUGUGUGUGUGUGUGUAUGUACCUCCCUAUACAAUUUGUCUUAUAUGUAUUCGUUAUAAAAGUAUUGCAUAUAUUGAUGUAAAAAUAUAAAACCUUUAUUAAAAAAUAUUUCUUGCAUUUAGGUGACAUCCUCUUUGGGUUCAAUGAGUAGUACUCUUUUAUUUAUUUUAUUUUUAUUUUUUUCAAUUGGUUCAAUCUAUAACAUUUUUAAACUUUUUUGCAGAGUUGUUCAAUAUUUUGUACACGUAUUAUCCUGUGGGCAUAGGAGUGAUUAAUAGAUCCUCUGACUGGAUGUUUUGCAAUAUUAGGCAAUAAAGAAGUAACCUGAGAGAGGACCAACGUUUCAGCUAGGUCAUUCCAAAAAGGGGUUAUACAUUUAUCAUGAGUUUAAUGUCUGUAUCUAAAACUAUAACAAAUGUUUAAUUCUUGUGCACAUUCUAAAGUGCAAGAAAGGUAUUAACUCAGAAAGACAAGUGCAGCAACUUUGCUGCACUUUCAAUAUAUCUUUGUAAGUGGACUUGAAGUCCAACACUGUUUCCAUUUUCUUUUAGAUCCCAACUGGAAGUAUCAUAUUGCCAGGCAGGUUCAUUUUCUGUGGUGUUACGAAUUAUGUGAGAGAUCUGCAAUAUCACUUACACAGAGACAGAGGAAGAGCAACUGUUGUAGAGAAUAGAAUAAUCCUUCAUUGAAAUCUGUGGAACUCAGUUAUCUGUACGAUUUAUACAUUCAAUCUUCAAAGGUCACUAGUGAUUACUAUUGUAAUGUAUACUCUAAAAAUAGGCGCUAUGAUCAUUUGUCUUGGCUUAUUUUUAUUGUAUCUAUUUCUUUUUUUAACAGACACAUCUAUCAGUGUUGCCGCAGCCAAAUUCUCAGUAGAAAACUGCACAACUCUCAGGUAAAAUCAUUCAACUAGGUUAUAACUAGUGGUUAAGGACUUUUUAAAUUGAAAAGAAAUUAAUACAUAAACUACUGAGUACUAUUAUAUAAAUUCAAAACAUUGAAAGAGAUUUUAGUAUUUAGAUUACUAAAUGAAACAAAAACUCCAAAUGUUAUUAGGGGCAGUUAAUCAAAACCCAGUAUAGGCCACAUACCUUAAUGUUUAAGAACCAAUUGCCAAAUCAUUUUAUACAUGUGGCAAAUGAAGCUUUUAAAGUUUUUGAUAAAUGUUUUAUUUAAAAAAAUGCAACUUUGAAGACCUUGAAGCGUCCUUUUUCAAAUUGCAGAUACAGGAAGCACAACAAUUAUAAAUUCCUGUUUCUCAUCAUUUAAAAUAAUAUUUAUAAGAAUUUUCAAUUCUCAUAUAUACUAACAGUGAAUCUGUUUGAAAUUCAGUUAUUUCAAGCGAAUAAGCACAUCUCAUUCAGUAUUAUCUUGUGCCCACUUGCUUUUUUUUUUUUUUUUAAAAGGACCACUAUAGGCACUUCAGCUUAAUGAAGUGGUCUGGGUGCCAGGUCCAGCUAGGGUUAACCCUUUUUUCUAUAAACAUAGCAGUUUCAGAGAAGCUGCUAUGUUUACCUAUGGGUUAAUCCAGCCUCUAGUGGCUGUCUCAUUGACAGCCGCUAGAGGCACUUGCGUGCUUCUCACUGUGAUUUUCACAGUGAGAAGACGCCAGCGUCCAUAGGAAAUCAUUGUGAUUGCUUUCCUAUGAGACUGGCUGAAUGCGCGUGCGGCUCUUGCCGCGCAUGCGCAUUCAGCCAAGGAGGAGGAGAAGAGGCAGAGAUGAGGAGGAGAGAUCCCCGCCCGGCGCUGGAGAAUGAGGUAAGUUUAACCCCUUCCUCCCCCUAGAGCCCGGCGGGAGGGGGACCCUGAGGGUGGGGGGCACCCUCAGGGCACAAUAGUGCCAGGAAAACGAGUAUGUUUUUCUGGCACUAUAGUGGUCCUUUAAGGUUCUUUAUAUUUACAUUUCAGUAAACACAGAAAGGUGAUCAAAAUAAAUCAUUGAUAAUGUAGAACCAACAUUGGUACAAAAAGAAUAGCCAAUUUAUGUGAUAGGUAUAAAAUUUGUCUUAAUACAGAGUCAAGACUGGAUGAACAAUCCUAAAUAUAGGAGUGUUGCUUGGCCCACUAGACAGGGGUCCUUUAAGGUCCCUGGCCAUGGGCUGAUGUCGUUGUAAGUGUGCUUAGACUCAUCCUUGUUAAUUGUGGUGUUGUCGGGUAGCUGCGGUAGUGUUAAUGGGUUGCUAAGGCAUCAAGGGUAAAUUUGGGGAUACUAUUCAUAUUUGCUCAGAGAAUCGACCCAUUGUACCACUGGUCAGUGUCUGCUUUAAAAUCAGCAAUUCUCAUAUGAAAAUUCUAUAUAAAAUAUAGAAAUCACAUAGUUAUCAAACACCAGAUUCGUUAAUAUGGAUUAAUUUUUUGCAGGCACACCUACAAUAAUCUGAAAUAAAUGCUGGCAAUGCAAGCAGACCGCUACAAAAGUAUUAAAGGGUCACUCCA